CCCGCUGAACUUAAGCAUAUUAAUCAGUGGAGGAAUCAAAAUCAAUCGAGAUAUCCCCAGUAGCUGCGAGCGAACAGGAUACUCGAAUUAUGCCCGAGACUGAAUCCAGGACCUUUGCUUCGGCCCGGGCCCAGGAAAUGUGGUCAGUUGGAUGAGCUUCGAGAUGGACCUCUGCAUACUGGGAUGACAUCCCGGGAUAAUAAGUGUUUUAUGCAAUUGCAAGGGUCUUACCGAAACAGCAGCAUCUGUCGAGUAGACUAGCUUGAAAGUGCUAGUCGAAUGUGGGUGGUGCUGUCCAUCCAAGGCUAAUUAUGAAAGCGGGUAACCGAUAGCAGACAAGUACCGUAAGGGAAAACUGAAAAGGCCCUCUCAGAGGUGUCCAAAGAACAUGAAAUCCGUCUAAUGUGAACUGGAUGCCUAAGCCCGUUGAAAAGCACAGGCAGUGGGGGGAGGGGGGGGCAGUCCCUCGCUCGCCACUGCCACACAGUGCCGAGUAUCACGCAGCCGAGGGAGUGGGACCCGGGAAUGCACGGCGAGGCUCGAUCAGGGCAGGGGGGGUAACCCACCAGUCCUGCGGCCGGUGCCGGCAUGGAAUCCGGCGACACCGCUUUCAUCCGAAAUGGUAUCAUCGCGUCUUCCAGGGGAGAUCGUAUGAGUACUGCACACUCUGUUCCCGAUCCCCCCGACUCCCGGUAACACGGCUCUGCCUUGUCCCUGGUCCCCCUCAAAAGGGGCUGGGGUCGGGCUCUGUCGGGACUGGGUGCCGAGUCGGUCUUGACCGGGACAUGGAGGUGCGGGGCUCUAACGCCUGGAAUGCAGAGCAGGUGCCGCGUGAGGGUUAUGGUUUCCAACCCGUCUUGAAACACGG
rnacentral:rRNA from 1 species